CAGGAGGUAUUGAAACCAGUUUGAGAUAGGGAGCACGAUAAAACUUAAAAUAAAUAGCCCUCCGAUUCAAAGCCUGACAGAGAAGUUGUUUUAGCUUGUCCCACCGCAACACUUCCCACUCCCACGGCUCACAUACCGCCACCUUAUGCUCCACCCAUACUAAAGAAAGACAAAGAGACAGGAAGAGGGACAGGAGAAAUCUGAAACUCUAGUCGUUAGAUAUAUUCUGCAACCUUAGCUUCAUUCUACUGAAAUAAAUGCCACAGCUCCCUUUGUGCAGAUGGCACACUGAGCUGAGUGGACAUUUUUCCUGGGCAAUCUCCCUGUUUAUCAUGGGUGUCUCCUCUCCUCCGUUCUAUCACAUCCUACCAGCUGUGACCGAGCUGCAUGCCUCCUCUCAGACUGAAAAGGACACUGUGAGGAGUCCUGAUUUAGCAAAACCCACAGCUACAAGAUGAGCAGCUCUAUCAGCGCUCCUACAGAGUGCAUCCUGUAGAAGACAGUAAGCGGCUGGCCAAGAUUCACCAACACGAACCACACUGAGAACCCGAAGAACUGCUUCCCUACGCCGCUCUCAAACUCAGGGAUGAGGAAAGUACAGAUCUCCUGGAUGAUCCUCUUACUCCAGGGAUGAGAGACAUGUUUCGGAUAGAACACUUCUUCUCUUUCUUUACUCUCCUCUUUCUUCACCAUCUGCGUCACAGUCACAUUCACACUCAGGAAGAAUCGCCCACAACUCUGUCUGGUCCACAAACUGCGUUUCACAACCGAAUGUACCCAGAAAUAAUAAGGAAGUAACGCAAGAUCACACGUAAGAUCAGAGUUCUCACGCAAGACUGGAAAUGGAACUCGGCAAAAAGUUCUCCAUCCAAAUGGUCAAGGUGGGGAACAAGGAUUGUCUCUUCUGUAUAAUUGAACAAAUGAAUAAUUUUGUAGUGUCCUGCUGCUGAUGCGACUGGUCAAGCAAAUGUUUCUGCUUUAUUUCUGUUUGAUGUAAUUGUACAGCUUAUUUAUUCUGAUAUAACUAUAUUUGAGACAUUUUUUUCUGAUAAAAAACUAUAAACUGUAUUAAAUUAUAUUGUGCUCCAACCGAAGCCAUGCUUGCUGAUACUGUGGUCUAUAACUCCUCCCCGAAAUGACCGCCGCCCUGUAUCUCACUCUCUCAUUGGCUGUAGGUCAUCGCCAUGGUAUUUUUCAGUCAGAGCUCCUUUCACACUCCACGCCGACAGGUCCAGAUAUUUAGCAUGCCAAAUAUUUCACGGGAGUCGGCGACUCGGUCAGAUCGAGUUUCUGGUCAUUCACACUGCACGAUGGUUGAAUGGUGGAAUGGUUUAUAGACUAAUUCUCUCCCUCUGUCUGUGUCUUUGUUUGUCUCGCUCUCUUUCUUUCUCUCUCUCUCUCUCUCUCUCUCUGUCUCCAUCUUUCUCUCUCUCUCUCUCUCUCUCUCUCUCUCUCUCUUUCUCUCUCUCUCUCUC